AAGAGACUCCUUUCUUUUUACAACAUAGUAAAUUAAGCGCUUUCAGUUCUUUAUCUGACCAUGCAUAGUCUUGAGGGAGCAUCUCCAGUAAGCUGGGCUGUUUCGCUCUCUUUGGGGACAUGGUGACAGUGGAGACGUAGAGAACUACUAUUUGCUUGUUAGUUGAACCAAGAUUCUGUAGCCGAUAUGCAAUGUCACUUACAACAUUAAUCAGAUACUGCAUUUAAGAUCACUAAUUUUCCCAGCUGUGACGCUGACAUGUUUUCGUAAGAUUGCUCUGAGAGACACCAUAGCAAAGUGGAAAGAGAGCUGACCCCAGGCUCAGAAAGAUCUGGGUUCAAGUGCUGCCUCUGACACAACGUUGUCUGUAUCACCUUGAGCAAAUCAUUUAACUUCUCAAUACCCCAGGUAACUCUUUAAGAUACAAAAUGCAGAACAGUUGCCCGCCUCCAUCAUCAGAGGGAGUUUCUAUUCAACGGUGGGGGGAAAGGGAUUUCUAUAGGACACAUAAAGACAUUUGACCUUUAAUUGUGACUCUGUUCUAGAGGCUGGAUUUCUGAGAAUUAGGCAAGUAUGGUGCUUCCUUUGAAUUCUAGGAAGAGAUAGUUUUUGUUUUCACAGUGACAUCCGCUGGACUUGCUAUGUGACCCUUUAAAUUCUCGAGGCUCAAUUUCCUUAUAUAUAAAACAAGAGUGUUGGACUAAAGGAUCUCUAAGACUCUUGACCAAUGAUGUUUGAAUUCUGUGAUUCACUGCUGGUGGCGCCAUCAUCUUUCUGAAGGUUGUGGGGCUUUGGAAAGCAACAUUUCCAAAGCAGCAAAAAUGGAGAUUAAAUGGGGAAUUACUGGGGGAAAACGUUUCUGAUAGUCUUCAAGAUGGAGUGGUGAGUGGAAAAGUGAGCAGAGAAAAAAAAUAAUGAUAUAAUAAUUCAUAUUUAUAUUAGUGCUUUGAGGUUUGUAACUAGCUUUUCUCACAACUCUGCAAGAUAGAGAGUGAACUUUUUAUUAUUUUCAUUUUACAAAUCAGGAUACUGAGGAUCAAAGAGAUUAAGUUGCCCAAAGUCCCACCACUAGAAAAUGUCAAAGCUGAUAUUUAAACCCAAUCCCCCAAUUCCAAAUCCAGUGUUAUUUCUACUAAAUUAGGCUGUCUCAUCAGAAGCCAGCAGGCACCUAAGAAAA